CAGCCGCCGCGGGAAUACGUAGGGUGCAAGCGUUAAUCGGAAUUACUGGGCGUAAAGCGUGCGCAGGCGGUUAUAUAAGACAGAUGUGAAAUCCCCGGGCUCAACCUGGGAACUGCAUUUGUGACUGUAUAGCUAGAGUACGGCAGAGGGGGAUGGAAUUCCGCGUGUAGCAGUGAAAUGCGUAGAUAUGCGGAGGAACACCGAUGGCGAAGGCAAUCCCCUGGGCCUGUACUGACGCUCAUGCACGAAAGCGUGGGGAGCAAACAGGAUUAGAUACCCCCGUGUCCCUGUCUCUUAUACA
rnacentral:rRNA from 1 species